UUUGUUAUUGUGAGCUACACUACUGUGAUCCCUCAGAAGGACUGAGUGUUGAAGACAUGGAAGAAAGCAGUUGAUGAUUCAGGUGGAAGUACUGAAAAAAGACCCAGAUCACAAGCAGAUAGAUGAGUUAAUGUCUGCCACGUUUUCCAAGCGCAGAAAGGAGAUUGUGGGGAUCAACCUCUCAUCGGGGAUGUUAUGGCAAAAUGGCCGGCCAUGUUCUGUAACAAUAGACAACACUGAGUCUGAGAUUAAUCACUUAAUCCAAUUUUGUUCGAAUGGAUAUCACUAUUUUGAGUCUUUUGUUCAUUAUUUCCAAAGAGAGCAUGGCUGAUGCUGUUUUUGGUGGUGCACUGAAGGCCAUUUUGGAAUUGGAUCUUUUUGUCUGAAGAAAGAGGACACAAACGAAAGGAUAAGGACUGCGGCUCUGCUGGGUCUGCCACACUAUUUUUCAGAAAAGCCCUCAAACAUCAUCAGGAUGUGUGACGGCAUGCAGCUUGACAGAACUUCACGGAGCCACGGCAACCAUUGUUUAGACAUCCCUUAGAGACUUUAGCAUACCUGUGCA